rnacentral:lncRNA from 1 species
GGAAAGGGCUGUGCAUUUGCAUGUGCCUUCUUUGAUGGGUUCCAGUAUCUGACCCAGGACCAACACCUGGAGAAGAAAAGUGAAGAAGAAGAAGAAAAAGAAGAAGAAGAAAAAGAAGAAGAAGAAGAAGAAGAAGAAGAAGAAGAAAAAGAAGAAGAAGAAGAAAAGAAAGAAGAAAAGUGAGGAGACCUCAUUGCAGCCUUCCAGUAUUUAAAAGGGAAUUAUAAAAAAGAAGGGGAACCAACUUUUUAUAAGAGUAGAUAGUGAUAAGACAAGGGGGAAUGUUUUUAAGUUCAAGGAAGGAAGGUUUAGAUUGGAUGUCAGGGGAAGUUCUUUACAGAGAGAGCGGUGAGGUGCUGGCACAGGCUGCCCAGAGAGGUUGUGGAUGCCCCGUCCCUGGAGGUGUUCAAGGCUAUGUAGGAUGGGGCCCUGGGCAGCCUGGUCUAGUGCUAGAUUUUGAGGUUGAUGGCCCUGCCUGUGGCAGGGGGUUGGAACCUGAUGAUCCUUGGGGUCCCUUCCAACCCAAAGCAUUCUAUGAUUCUAAGCCUGAAAGAAAAAGGUGAAGUCUUGAUUAUAUUGAAACUUAAGGGUUUUUUUUUUAAGUUUUCUCCCCAGCUUUCCUGCAACUCCUGUCUGAGACUCAACACCAAGCCCUUAGGUUAAUCCCUCCAGAUGCUAGAGCUCAGUUAAUCACAGCCGAGGCUCAUCAGGUUGACAACUGUCAAGGCGGACUGCAAGUCAGAUUUUGACCUCUAUUAGCUGGUGCGGUGUAAUUACUGAGUUAAGGAGAACAGGGGGAAAAAAAUAAUAAUCCAGAUUUGAUCCUUCCCAGAUGAAAUGACAAAAAUUAAUGAACCGGUGUAUCCUCUUCAGAGAUGUAAGGAGAUACACCUUGGGGUUAACAGCUGCAUUUCAGCAAGUCUUCAAAUGCACAGACGCAGCAAAAUCAGCUCCACAAAGAUUGGACAAUGCUGGGUCAGGAAGACACGGUACAUGUUUGUUAUCCUUAGAAAGACACAUUCUCAAGUGAAAAUUGACAGAACAAUUUUAGCAGCCGUAAAGCCUUUUCCUGAAGCUGAACAAAGGCCUGCAGAUGCUGCUGCUGCAGAGCUUCAAGGUGGCUCACUCUGUAUUUCCAUGUACAAAACAAGCCUUGCUAGGCCAAGUGGAUGA